GGGAUAUAGGUAUAAGUGUCCCUUACACCUGAGAUCGCCUCAGUGACUUGCAAGCAACUCACUGUGCUUUGGUACUGGACUAACUGAAUUUUUAAUUCAGUGACGGAAGGCUUCUGGGCAUAGUCAAGUAUUGCGAAGUCAGAGUGUGAUCGAGAUGGGAUUGACCACUCCAAGAGUUGGAGAAGAAUGAGUCGCUGUAUUUCAAUUUAGAAAAACCUUGGCCAAGAUAAUCCAUCAGAUGGAUUUGAUAUUUUGAAAUACAAUGUGGACAACCUAUCAGAGUUGACAGUUGAACUCUGAGGUGUCCUAUGAUCAUUUUGGUCAAGGGGAUGAAUUAUAUGAAAACUAUAUCCGCAUGGGUUCUAAGGAUGUUGUUCUACACAUUCGACCUAUCCG
rnacentral:lncRNA from 1 species